AUUGAACGCUGGCGGCAGGCCUAACACAUGCCAGUCGAGCGGAUGAAGGGAGCUUGCUCCUGGAUUCAGCGGCGGACGGGUGAGUAAUGCCUAGGAAUCUGCCUGGUAGUGGGGGAUAACGUCCGGAAACGGGCGCUAAUACCGCAUACGUCCUGAGGGAGAAAGUGGGGGAUCUUCGGACCUCACGCUAUCAGAUGAGCCUAGGUCGGAUUAGCUAGUUGGUGGGGUAAAGGCCUACCAAGGCGACGAUCCGUAACUGGUCUGAGAGGAUGAUCAGUCACACUGGAACUGAGACACGGUCCAGACUCCUACGGGAGGCAGCAGUGGGGAAUAUUGGACAAUGGGCGAAAGCCUGAUUCAGCCAUGCCGCGUGUGUGAAGAAGGUCUUCGGAUUGUAAAGCACUUUAAGUUGGGAGGAAGGGCAGUAAGUUAAUACCUUGCUGUUUUGACGUUACCAACAGAAUAAGCACCGGCUAACUUCGUG
rnacentral:rRNA from 1 species